AACCCAACCCCUAUCCUAUUUUCCCGUCGUCUUCUUCGCCUCUCUGCCCGUAACCCCUUGGCCCUUACUACCUCCCUCUACAGAAAUGGAAAGCAUGCCAAAAUCAUCCACCUAAAACCUCUACCUCUCAUCCCCAACAGCAAAACUCCUAAUCGUCUACAAAUUCCACUUUUGAACAGCGCAAAUCGAAUAAUCAAAAUCUGCAAAACAUUGUAUCUAUAACUUCUUCGAUUUUCAGAUAUCACAGACGAAGCCUUCGGAGCAAAGAUGGUAUACUAUAAGCUAAUCUUCCGGAGGGACGCGGACAUCUCAAAAGGGUUUUAGUUCACCGGAUUUAUCUACCAGCGAGAGCUGGGUAGCACUUCUCCAGGUUUAAUUUCAGAUGAUACCCCAAAGUCGAGCAGGUGCAAUAACACAGAAUUCCAAUUCCAUAGUUGCUUUGUAAGGAAUCAACUUGAGAAUUCUAAGAAUUAAGGAUGGUGCAGAAUUCAGCUCAGUCUUUCAUGAAACAAAGGAAUUUUGGAGGAAGAAGAACAUGGGGACACUGAAGUAUGUAAUGAAACGCCCAUCCUGCAAAACUGAUAUAUCUGAUUUUCUACAGAAUCCACAGGCUUUCAAACUGGAGAGGAAGAAGACACACACAAAGAGUUGAUAGCUGACACAAAGAAGAGAAAGUGUGUUAGAGCUUCAAUUGAAAUGUUGGCUUUCAUCCACCACUUAAAGAUAGCUGCUUCCUCUCCAGCAAGGCUUCAGGAAUCACUGCUGCCCUAAGAUCGCAUAUCAUUUCAUCAUUCUCCUCCAAAGUUGUGAAGACUUAUUUAUAGUGUCCUAGGUCUUGAAGAUGGCAACAGUCAUCUUCAAUUUAAAUUCAUAUUGCAUUUCCCCAUGUAUUUAAUAUCAAUGUUAUGUUGAAAAAUAAUUCUGAUAUGUAAGCAAAAGCAACCUUUCGGAUUCCAAGACAUCUAGAAUCCAAAAUAUGUUUAAUGAAUUUGAAUUCCCCAAAAAAUGCCUAAAACGGCGUAGUUUUCAUUGGGCGGGAAAACGGAAUUUUUUUUA